rnacentral:misc_RNA from 1 species
GAUGAAGAACGCAGCGAAAUGCGAUACGUAAUGUGAAUUGCAAAUUCAGUGAAUCAUCGAGUCUUUGAACGCACAUUGCGCCCCCUGGUAUUCCGGGGGGCAUGCCUGUCCGAGCGUCAUUGCUGCCCUCAAGCACGGCUUGUGUGUUGGGCCCCGUCCUCCGAUCCCGGGGGACGGGCCCGAAAGGCAGCGGCGGCACCGCGUCCGGUCCUCGAGCGUAUGGGGCUUUGUCACCCGCUCUGUAGGCCCGGCCGGCGCUUGCCGAUCAACCCAAAUUUUUUAUCCAGGUUGACCUCGGAUCAGGUAGGGAUACCCGCUGAACUUAAGCAUAUCAUAAGCGGAGGA